UUCUGACCUUAUAAUCACUACAACUAGUGAAAUUUGUAAAUAGAGAUGCCAAAUGGCGGUUAUGAGACUCCUUCAGUUGAUGAAGAGGAAGAAGCAGUGACUAAGAGUUCUCCAAAUGCGAAUGACGAAUUCUUCUUGGUCAAAUAUAAACCCGAAAAACGACAUCCAGGUUCGAGCACUGUAAAGUCCCAUGUCUCUUUGAACUUUGCUCCGUCAAGUAUUGACGGUCUUCAAUUCUGUGCUGCUGGGCAGACGGUUUCAGACUCGAGUGUUGAAGAAGAGGCCGAAGUAAGUAUUUCUUCAUAUAACUUCAUAGAUAAGAUGCUCAUUGUUGAGAAUAUGUCCAGGAGGAUGUCUCCAUGGAAGUAGAGAGUACUGGUGAUGCUCGUUCGGAGAAUGACGAUAAAGAAAACUCCUAAAGCUCAAAACCGAAUGAAAGUAAUGUUGUUGUUGAUGUUGAGACAAGCAAUUCUGGUUCUUUGAACGCUUCAGAGCCCACCCAAAGUGUCAAAUAUCGAAGUUGAGGAUAUUGAAACCAAUAAGGAUAACUCGAGAUGUUCUGGAGUUGUUGAUGAAGAGACAACCAUCCUUGCACUUCAAGGACAUGAUAAGGUUGUCACUAAAGUUAUGGAAACUUCGAUUGUUGCUGCUUCAGUGAUAGAAGAAACCGAGCCACCAGUAGAGAAUACUGAAGAAACUGUUGCCCUGAUUGUAGAGGCUUCCCCAGUAACUGAGAAUCGUGUAGUGGUGUAUUAACACCUAAGUGCAGGGGUUGUUUUGUUCCUCCAUUCGAUGCAUAACUCCCAUACCACGAACUGGUUGGUGGAGGAUUUAAAUGCUAUUGAUUCAUUUGAGAUCAGGACCCUUUGAUUGGUACAUGAGCAAGGUGCUUGCAGCCAUAUUGUCUUUCUCAACCGUAAAACAUCACGUCUGAAACCCUGGUCACGGGACCAUAGCUGAGGUUUAUUUCGAGAGGGGAUGAUGUAAUGACCAUGGUUUCAUGUCCCGGUGGUAUCAUCACUUUUAUGAUGAAUGAUUAGCACAAGAGAGUCUGGCGUCACAAGUCUUGGACUGUAAAACUGAUCGUCAUGAUCAGUGGAUCGUCAGUCCCCAGUAUUUUGUUAAAUCUCUCCUUUUCGUUUCCGCUUCUUCUGG